GUUAAGGAUUAUCUUCUCAGAAGCAGGACUGGGAGUGGUGAACCCUGGAGUAUCCUCCUCCUUUACCAGCACCUUGUAGUGGAGACUAAUCCCUACAGCUGUGUGGAUUGUCAUCAGCCAUGCGCUGCACAGGAGCCAAACAUUACAGCCUUCUGUAAAACAACUUUUCAGACAUCUCAUGUUGCCAUGGAAAUGGACCUGUGCUCACUGAAAGCUGGUGCAGGUGAUGGCACAAGUGCACGUGAAGUUUAAGUUGUACGUAGGAUCCUGAGCAUCGACUCUCACCAGAUUGAAGAGUGAUAGAGAAUCAUGUACACAAUUGUUUCCUACAUUUUUGCUGAAAGAAAAAAUAAAGGAUUUUG